rnacentral:misc_RNA from 1 species
AGGAGAUCUUGGUGGGCUAGAGUUUUUUUGUGGAGUCUUUGGAUGUGACCAAACAGAGUUUCUCUGUGGAGAUCGUUCAUAGGCAGGCAGAAAUGAGCCAUACCCACCGAAUUUAGCCCCUGUCAAAACAAUAUGUCCCACACAAUCACUUUUCAAUGAAUAAAAACAAAUUACUCUUUCAUCUGUGGUAGAUGAAAAACUUCCAAUAGGAGUCACUUACCCAAAUUCUCUGCAGA